rnacentral:rRNA from 1 species
CAGUCGCCGCGGUAAUACGUAGGGUGCAAGCGUUAAUCGGAAUUACUGGGCGUAAAGCGUGCGCAGGCGGUUUUGUAAGUCUGUCGUGAAAUCCCCGGGCUCAACCUGGGAAUGGCGAUGGAGACUGCAAGGCUAGAGUGUGUCAGAGGGGGGUAGAAUUCCACGUGUAGCAGUGAAAUGCGUAGAUAUGUGGAGGAAUACCGAUGGCGAAGGCAGCCCCCUGGGAUAACACUGACGCUCAUGCACGAAAGCGUGGGGAGCAAACAGGAUUAGAUACCCCUGUAGUCCCUGUCUCUUAUAA